GACGAGCCACAUGAACGUUAUUCGGAAUUACUGGGCUUAAAGGGUGCGUAGGCGGUGCGGAAAGUUGGGUGUGAAAUCCCUCGGCUCAACCGAGGAACUGCGCCCAAAACUACCGCACUCGAGGAAGAUAGAGGUGAGCGGAACUUACGGUGGAGCGGUGAAAUGCGUUGAUAUCGUAAGGAACACCCGUGGCGAAAGCGGCUCACUGGGUCUUUUCUGACGCUGAUGCACGAAAGCUAGGGGAGCAAACGGG
rnacentral:rRNA from 1 species